GCAGGACGCACAGACAUGCUGACUCUCAUGGCCAUGCGAUGGAAUCAGCAAAAGUUCCGAAAUUUGGCAGUUUCACUGACUCGCCGAUAUCAGAAGACCAGAAAAGCUCUGCAAAGCCAGUUACAAAACCUAGAGUCCUUGAAAGCCCAAUUGGCAGUGACAGAGAGCUAACUGGAAGACUGGGUCAGUGAUGUAAAGGAGUGGGCAGGCGCAGCAAGAGUAACAACCACAAAU